CAGCAGCCGCGGUAAUACGAAGGGUGCAAGCGUUACUCGGAAUUACUGGGCGUAAAGCGUGCGUAGGUGGUGGUUUAAGUCCGUUGUGAAAGCCCUGGGCUCAACCUGGGAAUUGCAGUGGAUACUGGGUCACUAGAGUGUGGUAGAGGAUAGUGGAAUUUCCGGUGUAGCAGUGAAAUGCGUAGAGAUCGGAAGGAACAUCUGUGGCGAAGGCGACUAUCUGGGCCAACACUGACACUGAGGCACGAAAGCGUGGGGAGCAAACAGGAUUAGAUACCCGUGUAGUCCCUGUCUCUUAUAU
rnacentral:rRNA from 1 species